UACUACGCGCGCUAAACGCCGCGUCGGGGCGGUGAGCGCCUGUCGGGUGGAGUGUUCUCAUCUUCCGAUCCGUGCUCCUCGAGCCAGUGAAGCCCCCCAGGUUGCAGGGCCCGGUCCCCCGGUCCUUGUGGGCGCCCACGCAGGUGGCGCCUUCCCGGCCAGUGUCCGUGCGCUGGAAUUUGAGAAGGAGGCCCAGUGGAGAACGUUGAACCUGGGUAUAGAGACCGUUGGGGUUCCCUCUGCUUGAUCCAAAUGAGACGGGGCUGCUCUGCUUUCUGCCCCGAGGCUCUUCUGACUUUGCCUACCCGAGGCCAGCAGUAGCCCUCUCCGCUCACGCCAUGCACAGCUUUCAAGUGUUGGUCACAUUUUCCUGCUUCCUUUACAUGCAUUAUCAUUUUUUAGAAAUUAAAACAAAUUGAUCUGUAUAGAAUUUAAUUUUUAAAACAUCUU